ensembl:lncRNA
CGGCGCCCAAGCGAUGAAGGGCGGGUCCUGCAUCCGAGGCAUCCCCGAUCCAUCCAGCAUCUUCUCGCGCAGUCUUCUUCGCCCCGCUGCCACAGUCCCGGCGCCCCAGGCCCUGCGCAGAUGAAGACCCUCCCUCGGACGGCUUUGCGGGCCCUGCCUCAGCCGGCGCCCCCUUCUCUCCUGCAGGACCCGGACCCGCACUGCAGGGGCUGAGUGCCCCCUGGGUCGGCGUCUGAGUCUUGCCUCCCCGUAGGCUCAGUACCUGGCAUGUGUCCAAGGCUCAGCAGCUGUACCACAACCACCCAACAGGAGAGAAGGAAAGGAGAGGUGCACCCCGGGGAUGUGGUGAGGCCAUCCCGUCAUGGGGAAUCAGAAAAGGACUGCGUCUUAGCCAGCCAGCUGGGGGAAGGUGGGGGUACCUCUUGUGUUUCCUUUUCUUGGAAUUAUUCUCUCUGGUGACCGGUAUAUAUCCAUUUGAGGCCCCUUGGCAUGAGAUAGAGCCCAGGUCACCAGGGGAGACUUAAAUAGACACCAGACCUCACCUCGAAGGCGACCUAAGGUGCUCCUGCCCCUUUGCCCUCCCCGUCCAGACCAGGCACUGCCUGUCAGGUGCUGCACGCUCCCAAACCUGUCCUGGAUUUUCCAUCCUCUUCAAGAUUCACCUUCCCAAACCUAUACCAUGUCAUCCGAGACUGCACAAAAGCUGAUCUGAAAAGUCUCCUCUGCCUCAGAUGCAGAUGAAUUGUCGACCCGUGGGGGGUAGUCAGUUUCCUUUCUGCUCACAAGAAGAUGGUGUGGCUCAUGGGAUGGUAACGACAGCCCCCAUUCAUGAAGUGGCUAGCUGUUGUACCAGAUAUGUAGAUAAGUUGCCUGGGCUUCUCGGGACAUGUGACCAGGUGGCAUCUGGGUUGCUCACCCAGGGCUUCUUGAUUGUUGCAGAGGAGGCAGCACCGGGCAGAGGGGCCCUUGAGAGAUGUCACCAUCCUGUUAAGAAAGGGCUGGACCACAGCGCUGCAGAGAUGAGUCCACGGUGUGCAGAGGCCGUCGUGGAAGUUGUCGUGUCAGGAGCGCUGUAGACCGCAGUGUCCUUGAGGUGAGAGCUCUGGUCCAUCCUCUGGAGUGUUGGGGCCUCACAGUAGUCACGUGAGUUCUCAGGGCCCUGGGUGCAGAUGGAGGGGAGCUGAGAGGUGAGAUGAAGGCAGCACCCACGAGUCCCAGAUCUGCUCACCACCUCAGCCCCAAGCAACCUUGAUCACCCCUGCACGUGUCUUCAGUGGCCGCCGGGGGUGGGCCUCGUGUCCCACUUGGGUACUGGGAGCUCCGGUUCAGGAGUGUCUGCCCUCCGUCCCUCGAGCGUGGGCAGAGCAUAUUGGGAUGGAAAGUGGGUGGACCAGAGAUGCUUUCCCUCUGAGUUUGAUGCCCCUUUUGCCGCCAUCUCAGUUUGCGACCUUGUCUUCUUCAUUUGAAAAUCCAAGCUAUGACAGAGAUGAUUUUGUGGUACUUAGGACCGCAAAAUGCCUAUAAUUUCCAGCCAUGAUAUUUCCUCACUGUUUUUGCCCAAAGUGACUCCUCUUUGAUUCCCUUUGGCAGGGAGGUCCUGUUGGGCUUUCACAGGAAAGAAUGGCCACCCCUGGGCUUCUGUGCUUGGCCGAGUCUUUUUGCUAGACUCAGUGUAUCCUCUAGGCCACUGGCACCUGCUCAUCUUCGUAGAUCUCUCUCUGCCUUGCGUGCACCUGCAUUCAAAAGUGACCACGGGCUGGCCGUGCUCUGGUCGUUGAUAAUGCAGGGAGAGGAAUUGUGGAAAGCAGUUUCCCGAAUUUGGAGGGUCCACACCUGUCCCUUUCAAAUGCUGGCGCUUUCACACACUCCUGCUUCUCUCCAGCCCAUGCGUUCUGCUCUCAGGCACUGGGAGCUGCGUGUGACAGGCAGUGACAGGAGACUUCCAAGCCUAAACUUCCUGUUAUCAGAGCCAGGCUGUGUCGUGUCGUGUUGAGAUACUUUAGGGGGUGUAAGGAGCCAGGAUGAAUUACGCAUAAUGAAUAAGUAUGGUGUUGGGGGGGUACAUAGUGAUUGGCAUAAGACUUUCUAGGGGAAGCAGCUCUUUGGAGGUGGUGGACUGGGCAGGCCUUUGAAGGGGCGGGUGUCAUAGGCAACAGGAAGGGCUUCGAGGGGAGGGGAGGCACACAAGGGUGACUUGAGGCAGGGGUGAGCACGAGCACCGGGGAGUCAGGUGCACAGAUAAGUGAUGGCUCUGGGAAGUGGGGGACGGCUGCUGGGGUGGUGGGCUGAACAGUAGGAGAGAACAAGCUCUCCAGCCAUCUCUCUGCCAAUUCCCUUUACUCUGUCACCCUGAGAAGACCCAUUUUUCCAAGACAGUGUUCAUUCUGACUCUUCUCUGGGAGCAUUGAGAUUCCUUUUUGAGCCAAGUUUGGUGUGGAAAAAAACACUGCAGCUCAUCUCUGACUAAUUGGGGACGCUUUCAUGGAUGUCACCUUAAAGAAAGAUGAGGUAAUACUGGAAUUCCCUUUGUGACUCAGCGGAAAUGAACCCGACUCGUAUCCAUGAGGAUGCGGGUUUGAUCCCUGGCCUGGCUCAGUGGGUUAAGGAUCUGGCAUUUCCAUGAGCUGUGGUGUAGGUCGCAGAUGCAGCUUGGAUCCUGCGUUGCUGUAGCCUAGGAUGGCAGCUACAGCUCUGAUUCAAUCCCUACCCUGAGAACUUCCAUAUCCUGUGGGUGCGGCCCUAAAAAGAGAAAAGAAAAAAAAAUAGAUGAGGUAAUAUUGGGGAGCAAACUCUUGUCAUGCCCUCCUGGUCUGUGGCCUCCUCGUUGCUCUAGGGGUGCUGCUUUGGAAGAAGCCUCGGGGGUCAGAACCACUCGCCCUCUCAAGGUGAGGACCUGGGUCCCAGCUCCCCCGGAGGGUCCUCCUCAUGGUGAGUUACUGCCAAAGGGCUGCGUCGGCCUGUGUUUCUGAGAUGGCAGUGCCAAGCUACCAGCCUCAUCUGACUUUCUCCUGUAGGUAUUUAGGGGCUGACCGCGGACACUGGCGUAGCAGCGUGAAGCAGGAUGUUGUCGCAUGACCAUCGCCAAACCUUUCUCUUCUGUUGCCUCAGCACAGCGUGGAAGGACUCUGCCCUCUGUGUGAACAGGGCAGAGGGGACGUUCUGGGGCUCCAGGGACUUGGGAUUCAGAGCUGGAGACCUUCUACUGGCUCCCAGCAGGUGCCUCAGAACACUGCUGACCAGGAAGACUGUCUCUUCCCAUCUGGACCAGGUCAUCCCGUGGCUUCUGUGUCUCCCAUUUGCUCCUAGUAUAACUUUUUAGAACCAGGAGUUCCUGUUGGAGUCUUGUGUGCCAUGCGUCUUAUCUUCUCACCCACUUAAAUAAAUCUCGAAAC